rnacentral:precursor_RNA from 14 species
AUGAAAAACAGUGUGUCCCAAAUACACUGCUGGAGUCAGUGGGUACAAGUCUGUGGAGCUGAUAGAGUUGUACAUGUUGACACAAGCAGUGAAUUUGGCCGAGCUUUCAAGAUGAAA